CCUACGGGUGGCAGCAGUGAGGAAUAUUGGUCAAUGGACGCAAGUCUGAACCAGCCAUGCCGCGUGAAGGAAGACGGCUCUAUGGGUUGUAAACUGCUUUUGUCCGGGGGUAAACGCAGAUACGCGUAUCUGUCUGAAAGUAUCGUACGAAUAAGGAUCGGCUAACUCCGUGCCAGCAGCCGCGGUACUCCGGAGGAUUCAAGCGUUAUCCGGAUUUAUUGGGUUUAACGGGUGCGUAGGCGGUCGGAUAAGUUAGAGGUUAAAUCCGGAGGCUCAACUUCGGAAUUGCAUCUGAUACGGUUCGGCUAGAGAGUAGUUGCGGUAGGCGGAAUGUAUGGUGUAGCGGUGAAAUGCUUAGAGAUCAUACAGAACACCGAUUGCGAAGGCAGCUUACCAAGCUACUUCUGACGUUGAGGCACGAAAGCGUGGGUAGCAAACAGGAUUAGAUACCCUGGUAGUC
rnacentral:rRNA from 1 species